AAACUACAAGGAAUUGACGGGACCCGCACAAGGCGGUGGAUGAUGUGGUUUAAUUCGAUGCAACGCGAAAACCUUACCCACCUUUGACAUGUACGGAACCCUUUAGAGAUAGAGGGGUGCUCGAAAGAGAGCCGUAACACAGGUGCUGCAUGGCUGUCGUCAGCUCGUGUCGUGAGAUGUUGGGUUAAGUCCCGCAACGAGCGCAACCCUUGUCAUUAGUUGCUACAUUCAGUUGGGCGCUCUAAUGAGACUGCCGGUGACAAGCCGGAGGAAGGUGGGGAUGACGUCAAGUCCUCAUGGCCCUUAUAGGUGGGGCUACACACGUCAUACAAUGGCUGGUACAAAGGGUUGCCAACCCGCGAGGGGGAGCCAAUCCCAUAAAGCCAGUCGUAGUCCGGAUCGUAGUCUGCAACUCGACUACGUGAAGUCGGAAUCGCUAGUAAUCGUGGAUCAGAAUGUCACGGUGAAUACGUUCCCGGGUCUU
rnacentral:rRNA from 1 species